UCGUCGGCCAUGGCGAGGUCGAUGGCGUUGAGCCGCUCGGGCCGGUUCAGGGUGACGACGGCGACCCCGCUGUCCUUGUCGGCGCUGACGAGC
rnacentral:tRNA from 1 species